AUGGAGGCUUGGAGGAGGAAUGCCCUGCGCUGCGCGCUUCUCGUGCUGCUCCUCGCCGUUUCAAGCGGGGUGGCGAGGGCUCAGAUGGGCGAGUGCUGGAGCACGGACAUGGGGUACGGCAUCUGCGUGAAGCCCGCGGGGUGUAGAGCUGCCUGCCAUGCACUCGGCAAGAACGACGGCCAGUGCAACGGGGGCUACUUCUGGCCGGUCUGCGAGUGCCUGUCUCCACACUGCCACUAG
rnacentral:rRNA from 1 species